AGCCUUUCAGGGUUGUACCUGGAGAGUUUCCAGUACUCUACCAGUUUCGGCUAUGGGAGGGAGAGUCAAGGAGAGGCUUAACCAUUCCAUUCCUAGCUUGGGCAAUGGUUAGCAAGUGGAAGGCAAUCUGCUACAAGU
rnacentral:snoRNA from 2 species